CGGAGUGGACGCAUCACUGGUGUUCGGGUUGUCAUGCCAAUGGCAUUGCCCGGUAGCUAAAUGCGGAAGAGAUAAGUGCUGAAAGCAUCUAAGCACGAAACUUGCCCCGAGAUGAGUUCUCCCUGACCCUUUAAGAGUCCUGAAGGAACGUUGAAGACGACGACGUUGAUAGGUCGGGUGUGUAAGUGUAGCGAUACAUUGAGCUAACCGAUACUAAUGAACCGUGAGGCUUAACCUUACAACGCCGAAG
rnacentral:rRNA from 1 species